CAAGAUGAGUCUUGCCGGGGCCUUGAGCCCCCUGAAGAGUCGUUCGAGACCAGGACGUUGAUAGGCCGGGUGUGGAAGCGUAGUAAUGCGUUAAGCUAACCGGUACUAAUUGCUCGUGAGGCUUGACCCU
rnacentral:rRNA from 1 species